AGUUGAUAAGCUGCACAUGUGAGGUCAGGUUGUGUUCUUCACUUCAUGAUGGAAGGGCUACUGACCCAGAGUGGAAAGUUUAGCUGAAGACUUCUGGAGGAUUGGAUGUACCAGACUAGAGACUUCUUGCAAAGAAAAGCGAAAUUAGGAUGCCCCUAUGUAACUGCAGACCCAGAAGAGAUCUCAGAAGGCUGCUCUGUCCAUCUGUCUCCAUCAGGGAUAUCCGGUACAAGAAGCAACUGUUCCUGAAUGAUCCACGAAAAAAGAUGGGCUGAACUGCAAUAUUGGCAAUAUCUGAAGGAAAGGGGGAAGAUGAAGCCAGAAAGACAUUUUACAAGAAAUAACAACUCCCAUUCUUGCCUGAGGGUCUCACCUUGGCUGGGGUGAGGCAAAUGUAAGCAUGAAGCUUUCCUCCCAUCCUCCCUGCUGCAACCUUCUUAGCAGAAAAAAGCAAGCAUACACAACAGAGGCCAGCCAUCUUGGAAGCGUUUCCCAAUACCUGCUCCCUCCUGCUUUUGCUUUUUAGACCACUGUGAAACAAAAAUAAUUGGAAUAUUUUGUUUAAAAAAGAACAAAACCAAAAAGAGGACAGCUGUUUGGUCAAAAAGCCACUGUUUUGUUAUGUAGUUUAUAUUGUGAUACUUUUGAAGCUGAUUUUAACCGUAAACUUGGCCACGUGGUGAUGGCUGUAAAGUAGUGAGUUUGCUCAUUGCACUUUAGGUAAGCAAAUAAUGCAGGCUUUAAUUGCAGUUGACUGUUGGUUUAGGAAACAGAGGAGAACUGGAUUUUCAGUGAUGAUGGAAGAAAAGCUGAGGAUCUAGAUGUAGGAAUAAAUAUUUACUAAAAUAGACAAGGAAGCAGUCAGUCUUCAAACUUGUCACUGAGAACUGCAGAUAGACUACAGAAACAAAGCAGUAAGUAAGAACUAACUUUGUAUGCCCUUUUAUUAUGAUACAACCCAGGCAGAAUUUAUUCUUCCAGUGGUGUGUAUCCAGCCAAUUUCACUACCUCCUUCUCUUGUUAAAAUGAAAGAAAAAUAACUUUAUCUAAAAAAAAAGGGGGGGGGGGGGGGAAGCCAACCAUUAAGAUAUUAUGCUAUUCUCUUUCUUAAGAGAUCUCCUCUCACAGUGAUAGGUAUCUUAGAAAAGAAAUUGAUGUAUCUUCCUUUCUUCUUUGUGUGUUCUUGGUAUCACAAGCUGUGCACAGCAUGCUUUCAAUUAAUUUAAACUAACUUUCCAUCUGCUCCAACAAAUGUAGGAUUUGAGUGAAAGACAGUAUGAUGGAGUGCCAUGAAAUGCACUAAUAGCAAACACUAAUGUGAAAGCCAGUCUUCUGUGGAAAAUGUAAUAUCCAUAGUGCACUCCUUCUAGUCUAUAUUAAAGGCUCACUUU
rnacentral:lncRNA from 7 species